UGGCUAGGUGAAAGGAUGCAACAGGUGAA
rnacentral:piRNA from 2 species